AAAGGAAUAGACGGGGGCCCGCACAAGCGGUGGAGCAUGUGGUUUAAUUCGAUGAUACGCGAGGAACCUUACCAGGGCUUAAAUGUAGUGGGACAGAUCUGGAAACAGGUCCUUCUUCGGACUCAUUACAAGGUGCUGCAUGGUUGUCGUCAGCUCGUGCCGUGAGGUGUCAGGUUAAGUCCUAUAACGAGCGCAACCCCUGUUGUUAGUUGCCAGCGAGUAAUGUCGGGAACUCUAGCAAGACUGCCGGUGCAAACCGAGAGGAAGGUGGGGAUGACGUCAAAUCAUCACGGCCCUUACGUCCUGGGCCACACACGUGCUACAAUGGCCGGUACAGAGAGCAGCCACUUGGCGACAAGGAGCGAAUCUAUAAAGCCGGUCACAGUUCGGAUUGGAGUCUGCAACUCGACUCUAUGAAGCUGGAAUCGCUAGUAAUCGGAUAUCAGCCAUGAUCCGGUGAAUACGUUCCCGGGCCUUGUACACACCGCCCGU
rnacentral:rRNA from 1 species